rnacentral:rRNA from 1 species
GACGUAGGGCGCGAGCGUUGUCCGGAUUUAUUGGGCGUAAAGAGCUCGUAGGCGGCUUGUUGCGUCGGCUGUGAAAACCCGUGGCUUAACUGCGGGCUUGCAGCUGAUACGGGCGGGCUGGAGUUCGGUAGGGGAGACUGGAAUUCCUGGUGUAGCGGUGAAAUGCGCAGAUAUCAGGAGGAACACCGGUGGCGAAGGCGGGUCUCUGGGCCGAUACUGACGCUGAGGAGCGAAAGCAUGGGGAGCGAACAGG